rnacentral:rRNA from 1 species
UACGUAGGGUGCGAGCGUUGUCCGGAAUUAUUGGGCGUAAAGCGUGCGCAGGCGGCUUCGCAAGUCAGACGUGAAAUCCCCGGGCUUAACCUGGGAAUGGCGUUUGAAACUACGGAGCUGGAGUAUGGCAGAGGGGGGUGGAAUUCCACGUGUAGCGGUGAAAUGCGUAGAUAUGUGGAGGAACACCGAUGGCGAAGGCAGCCCCCUGGGCCAAUACUGACGCUCAUGCACGAAAGCGUGGGGAGCAAACAGG